rfam:Hordeum vulgare subsp. vulgare, WGS project CAJW01000000 data, contig: morex_contig_180811
AUACUACUCCCUCCGUUUUAAAAUUCUUGUCUUAAAUUUGUUUAGAUAUGAAUGUAUCUAGUUAUAUUUUAGUAUUUUGAUAUAUCCAUUUUCAGACAAACAUAAGACAAGAAUUUUAAGACGAAGGGAGUACCUC